rnacentral:lncRNA from 10 species
GUAUUCUCCACUGGUUGAAUGCAAAUGGAAGCCAGAGGAAAAGGGAACCCUUGACACAGUUUUCAUAUAGAUUGGCCUCCAGGGCAGACAGCAGGAGUGGGGUUUAAUCUGGACUGAAUUGGAGGAAAGGAACUGGCACCAGAGUGGAGGCUGGAAGGAUGGUGGAACUGACACUGGGACAGAACACAGAAAACAGAAUCUAAUGCUAUUGCUCUGGCUAUAUCAAAUAAAAGUGUCAAGAGUGAGCAUCCUUGCCUUGUGCUGAAUCACAAAGGAAUACCUUUCAGUUUUUCUCCAUUGAUUAUGAUAGCAGUGGGCUUUUCACAGUGGGCUUUACUGUGUUGAGGUUUAGGUGCAGUCAUCUUGGAUUUGAGUCGUGCUUGUGAAUUUUCAUGUGUUACAACAACCAGAUUAAAUUUCUUCAAGUGGAAAUAUUAAGUCAAAGAAAUUACCUAUUUCUAAUAAUUCUUACUGAAGAAGUGAAACCUAGCAGGAAGAAUUGUAUUUG